rnacentral:rRNA from 1 species
AUUGAACGCUGGCGGCAUGCCUAACACAUGCAAGUCGAACGGGGGCAGCGAUGCCCUAGUGGCGGACGGGUGAGGAACACGUAGGAAUCGGCCCACGAGUGGGGGACAACCUGGGGAAACUCAGGCUAAUACCGCAUACGCUCGCGAGAGGAAAGCGGGGGGACCUUCGGGCCUCGCGCUGGUGGACGAGCCUACGUCCGAUUAGCUAGUUGGUGGGGUAAACGCCUACCAAGGCGACGAUCGGUAGCGGGUCUGAGAGGACGACCCGCCACACUGGGACUGAGACACGGCCCAGACUCCUACGGGAGGCAGCAGUGGGGAAUAUUGGACAAUGGGCGCAAGCCUGAUCCAGCAAUGCCGCGUGGGUGAAGACGGCCUGCGGGUUGUAAAGCCCUUUAGGCGGGGAGGAACGGUCGGGUGCCAACACCACCCGGCGCUGACGUUACCCGCAGAAUAAGCACCGGCUAACUCCGUG